GAAAUCCUUCCCAUGACAAGCUCAGUAGAUGCUACCAUCAUCACUAAUGAAGACAUGGCACAUUUCUGGUGCAUCCUGUCCUCAUUCACAUCUGAUGCAGCACUCCCUCUCUGGGAGGGCUAUUGGAGAUUCCUUCUUUCAAGCAGAUAAUGAUGAACAAAGUGGUCUUAAAAUAUAUCAAAUGAUGGCUGACCAUUGAAAAUCAAGUGGCGUGAACAAAAAAGAAUGCACAGUCAGUCUUCUUGUACCUGCCACAGAGCAAAUACCUCAACCAAACUCUG
rnacentral:lncRNA from 12 species